CUCCUGCCCUACUUAAAUUCUCUCAAAGCAAUAAUUCCUUUCUAUUGCUUGCUGUGUAGACAAAGAUUACAGUAAGAAAUCAAAGUCUAGUGAGAGGAACACACAACAAACACACAUGGUAUCACACUUUGAUGCACUAAAAAAACAACAAAAAAAGCAGAGUUCAUUUUAGAUGGAUCUAAUUCAAAAGGAGACACAUAGUCUAAAAGUGAUUUUAGAAAGUGAUAAUUAAUACCCAUAACAAUUACCAGAACUUGAACCUUUCUGUACUAUGAAACUAUCUAUCCAAUAAUCAUAUUGUUU